UUCAGAGAACUUGAAAGUUAAGUCCUGCAUUUACCUACAGAGCAUGCAGGGCACUGGCAAGUGUCUGUGCUCCACAGCAUCAGUGAGCCUCAGCCCUGACCUGAAGGGACCCAGCCAGCAGGGCUGAGGAGGUGGUUUCCUCUUCAUUGAUUCCUCAGGGGCU
ensembl:misc_RNA